UCUCUGCUGCUGCCUGAUUGUGUACUUCUGGUUCCAAUGUGUGGUUGACCGGUCAGUUCAUACCUCUGGUGUUCGUAACUCUGUGGUUCUACUGUACAUACCACCCAGUGUUCCACAUGCUGUCCUUAACUUUCUGUUCAGUAUGGAGUAUAAGUUCCAAUAUGCAAAGCUCUGGCUACAUCAAGGAUCACUUCUCUGACUAGCCAUGGUAAUUAUAGUCAGGGGUUGAAUUUGGCAUGGAAGUGGAGGGGAGAAAUAUUGGCACUCUUUCAACGUCUGCCCACAAAAUAAACUCUGCCCACUUGAUACUACUCAGACUAUGUACUAAUUCAAAACAUUGAAUCAUGCAGGCUCUCUAGGCUCACCUCUCCUCUGACGAGUUUAGUGCCUCAGCAAUAGAGCCACACGCUCUUCUGGGCUGGCCUCCUUGGCCUUAGCUCCUUCUUGUUUGCAGGGAGGUAACCCAUCCACUCAGUAAAAAUGUCAAUACAUUAUGCUGAUCUGCAAAAUGUGAUCCUUCCUCCCAUAUUUUGAAAUGAGCGGUGAAAUAUUUAACAAUGCUGAUGUGUAAGGCUGGGAUUUUCAAGUGAGUGUAAGGGAGUUAGGCACUGAAAUUUAGUGGGUCCAACUCUAACGUAUCACUUGCCUGGAGUUAACUCCUUUUGAAAGAAAGGAAGCAGCUCACCCAUCUCAGAGCUAUUGUUGGAGGUAAACUCAACAGACAUACUGUUCACUUUUCCAAAGUUUCAUUAAUAAUCAUAACAGUGCCUUUUUAAAAUACUUUAUUUUGAAAUGAAAGCUGAGAUCCUGGAGAACAAAGCAGCUUGAGAGAAGUGCUAGUAGGCCAUGCCGCUGUGCACCAGCCUAACUCAUGCCCUGGUUACAGUUAUCUAAGGACUUAUAUGGUCCUCAUCACCACAGUAUCCAAGCACCUACCAUAGCAAGAACAAGACUGGUAGGAGCAGAGGACUGGGUUGUCUCAAUAGCUGGCUCACAGGUAUGGAACUCCAGACAUCAGAAUGAUUCUAGCUCUCUCCAAAGGUCUUCCACUUUUGUUUGAAUCUCUCUUUGCCUUUCCUUCUGUAUACCCUCACUCCCACCAGCAGCCCAAGAUCAGCAGUAAAGGAAAGUGAGAAGUCAUGGUAAAAUAAGUAUGAAGAAGACCAAAAACAAACAAAAACAAAAAAACCACAAUGCAGGAAGAAAUUGAAAAUACUAUCCUGAUUUCUUGUAUGCUUAUGUAAUUUUUCACUGAGUCACCACUGUGACAGGCAUAGUUCGAUUGCAAACAUCCAUCAAAACCAGACAAAUAGGCAACAUGGAAUUCAACACAGAAACAGGUCAGGCAAUGCUAAUUCGAAGGAACAAUUUAAACCACUUGUGUACCCAGAUGGGUUCCAAAUUAAUUGCAUCCUCAGGAGAUAAACGUAGGUAUCACUGGACAGCUCAAUGACUAACACGGCUGCUACUCUGAAACCUGCCAAUAGAUUCUAAAGGAACACCAAAAGGAAUGAAAGAAAAGAAAAGAAGUCUUAUCAGCAAUUACUGCCUGAUCCUGCAGCUGCUGCAGACACAGAAUUCCAGUGGGCCUUCUACAUACAGGACAGAUGGAGAACUGUCAACCUUUGUCAAGUUUUAUUAUUAAAAACUGUUGCACAACAGAAUCAUGGAAGAGGGUGAAAGGAAAAAACAUAAGGCCCAAAGACAGACUAUGGAAACAUUUACAAACACAAUUUUAUGAAACUAUAUUGCAAAAGAACUAUACAGCAUCUUUUCCAAGUAAAAAGAAGCCUAUUUUCCCUAUUAACUGACUUUGAAAUAGCUGGCAGAGCCUGCAGCUAAAUUUAAAAUCUUUUUUUUUCCUUUUAAACUAAGGAGGCUUGAUUAUAUGACAGUUGUACACAAACUCUGAACUGCACGUGGUAGGACUUCAAUACCAAAAGAUAUUUUAAAAAGCAUUCACUGAAACUUGGAUUCCACAUGCCCCUUCUCUUUGUAGCCAUUCUCCUCUAUGGGACCUGUCAAUUUCCUCAAAUCCCUUGCCUAUGAUGUCCGCAAAGGAAAAGCUGUUUCCAAAACCUCCCUCAUGCCUUCUCCAAGCAGCACUCCUUUAGUACAAAUGUCUAACCCAGAAUUUUUGCUCUGACUUGAAGUAGAGUUGAUCACCAAUGCUCCAAUGCUAUUUCCAUAGGGUCAGUUUCAGUGGAUGUCCACUAUACUGUAUGAGAAAAGUAAGUGUUGCUGGUUGGACGUUCAAGAAACUUCAGAUCUAGGACUAGAGGUCAUCUUCUCCUCACUUCCAUUAUAUUCCUUAUCACAAGAAGCUGAAACUCCUGUGAUGUUUCAUCUUCAGAAGAUGCUCUUCUAGUGCCAAAAGGUGCAAUGUCAGUCCAAUAUACCCUGUUAUAAAUUUAAAUUAAAUGCCCUUUUUUUUUGUUUACGGUGCAUUACAAAAAAGGUUGUUUUUAACAUCUUGAUUUUUGUCUCAAGUUCCAGAGAAAAUAAUUAAAUUAAAAUAAAGAGAGCAAAUGGGACUCUUACAGAAAGACAUUUCUAAACUGAGUAAUGCGUCUUUACAGAAAUUUAAGGCCCUGCCAUUUAUAAUUCUGCAAUAUUUCUUCUGUAGAUAGACACCCUUAAAUAUCAUUCUUUAUCUCCAUAAUGUAGAAUAAAUAUUUGGUAAUGCAUAUAAUUUGUAAGAACUAUUCAAGUUCAGAAUCUUCCAACUACAUUUUGAAAGGAGUUGGGGUUAUAAUUUGUCACGGCAAACAAAGCUUAACGCUUUAGUCAACUAACCAACCCCUAACAAUAAGAAUGACAUAAGAAUUUAAUGAAUACAUGGAAAUUUUACAAGUACACCAGCUAAGUUUUAACAAAGCCCUCUACUCAAUACCCAUUUUAUCACUUCCCAUCUUGGGCUUUCUGUUAUAAUAAUGCAGGCUUUUGUUUCUGUGCUUAGGCUUAAGGAAGACCAUUGUAUCCAACAUAUACUAAACCAAAACUGUGUUUAUAUUUGUAAAGUGUAUUCUUUGUAUAAUUAUACUUGUCUGUAGGCUGCAAUAGAGAUUUCAAUGUUUAUAGUAAAAUACAUGCCACAGUCAAGAUAA